AACGAACGCUGGCGGCAGGCCUAACACAUGCAAGUCGAACGCCGUAGCAAUACGGAGUGGCAGACGGGUGAGUAACACGUGGGAACAUACCCUUCGGUUCGGAAUAACUCAGGGAAACUUGAGCUAAUACCGGAUACGUCCGCGAGGAGAAAGAUUCAUCGCCGGAGGAUUGGCCCGCGUCUGAUUAGCUUGUUGGUGAGGUAACGGCUCACCAAGGCGACGAUCAGUAGCNGGUCUGAGAGGAUGAUCAGCCACAUUGGGACUGAGACACGG
rnacentral:rRNA from 1 species